GUCCCUGUAGCGAAAUGGAUAGCGCGUUGGAAUUGAAAUCCAAAGGUCGUGGGUGUGAAUACCACCGGAGAUG
rnacentral:tRNA from 1 species